CAUGUAGGCGGAUUAAUAAGUUUGAAGUGAAAUCCUAUAGCUUAACUAUAGAACUGCUUUGAAAACUGUUAAUCUAGAAUGUGGGAGAGGUAGAUGGAAUUUCUGGUGUAGGGGUAAAAUCCGUAGGGAUCAGAAGGAAUACCGAUUGCGAAGGCGAUCUACUGGAACAUUAUUGACGCUGAGAUGCGAAGGCGUGGGGAGCAAACA
rnacentral:rRNA from 1 species